UUCCAUGAAAUUUGUGAGCAAUUUAAAUCAAAUAAAUCAUAGUUUUGUCAUAGAAAUAUUGUAAAGCUUGAAGAAUGCGACUAACAUUAUAGUUAUAUAUGCAGGUAGCAUCACCCUUUGGACUUUUUCUCUAAUGUGAAAGACAAUCUUUUGUAAGUUGCCAGUGGAGAAGUUUCUCUACCAUUUUUGCAAGGUUAGUCAUCUAGUUUUCCAUUUUCUUCGUGAUUUGUAAUGUCAAGUGUCUCUGUGUCCUUGACUAACUACCCACAGGGCGGCUAAUUUUUCAGAAUUCAAUUGGGUCACUGGUAUGGUCUUAAUCUGAUCUAUUAAACAUGUGGUAUUGAAAUGAACUGUCAUUAUACUUUUUGUCAUAUUUUUACCAUGAUUGCCAAAUUUGUUAUUUUUUUAUCAAUUGAUAAGAAGUUGAUCAUAACAAGAAUACUUUCUAUUGUAAAAUCAUAUGGUUCUUCUCAUAUAUGAUAGUAAAAAUGCAGUUUACACCAUAUCAUUAAUAGAGUUUGGAAUUCUCCGGGUCAUUAAAUAUUUUAUUGCAUGGCAGUAGACCACAAUGCCCUCUGGUUUUUUUAUGUGGAAGGACAAUAUUGUCAUGUAGGAUUUUGAUGCAACCUGCAUCACUUGGCGACUAGGCGUGUUUAAUACAAAACACGGGUUUAGCUAUUUGUACUGUUAGAGUGGACAUAUCUCAGAGCUAAUGUGAUUUUUGAUGAGCUCCCAUGUUAAGCAAGAUUGAGCUCCAAAACAGUGGAAGUGAUGCCUUUUCCACUGUUAUAGGUGAGAGGGUCCCGAUCGUGCACUUGUUUAUGGAAGAGGGGUUACGAGAAGCAAACAGAGAAGGAAGCAGUUCUUCAAUAAUUUUGAUGGAAUAUUUUCCGUUUUCUAAUUUUAGUGAAUAUUUUUUGUUUGUGAUGUAAUGAAUGAAAUAUUUUCGUGAUGUAAUAGAUGAAUGGAGUAUUUUCGUGAUGUAA